GGCUGGCACGUCCAACGUCUGCAGGGUGGAUGGCAGGCUGGAGAGCCAGGGAAGAGCUGUUGAGGUUCACAUCUGGAGGCUGUUGGGUGCAGAAUUUCCUCUUGCUCAGGGGAGGUCAGCUUUCUGCUCAGUUCAGUCCUUCAAGUGAUUGGUAGUGGUCCAUCCACAAUGCGGAGGGCAACCUGCUUUACUAAUUUAAAUGUAAAUCUCCUCCAAAAAACAUCUCACGGAAACAUCCACAAUAACGUUUAAUCACGUGUCUGGACACCAGGGCCCAGUCAAGUAGACACAUAGAUUUAAUCAUCACGAGGACUAAUUUAAGAGGGAGGGAGAACGGUGGAGAUGAGGCACCAUUGACCAAGGCAGUGGUACCCAUUUACAGCAAAAUAGAGAGCAUCCAAGUGAAUAACUCUGAGUGAUCCAGGAGCACCCCACUCUUACUACAUCUUCCUCUGCCUCUGCCUGGCCUUCUAAAUUCUACUAGAACUUUAGAGCCUUGCUCAAAUUCCACCGCCUCCAGGAAGUCUUUCAGACAUUCCAGCUCUCAGUGGGCUCCUCUUUGGGUCUCUGACAGCACUCGCUGUCUGCCCACACAGUUUGAUUCUUCAUCAGGUUCCCUCAUAUUGCACGUUAGUCUUGCCUUCCGGGAACAUCCUUAUGGUCUAUAUUGACAAUAAUGACCCAGAGUCAUCAGGAAGUUGUCAAGAAGUCUGCUUUUCAGAGCUCCCAUCUACAAUUUACGCAGCAAAUCUUGAUUUAUAAGACAAAUUGCGGCUGAGCACAGAGAACACAGGGAACGUGCCACAUACAUAUAGAAAAUGGAUUGAAGCCUUCCCUUGCCACAAAGCUGAUGGCCUCACGGUGGCAAAGAAAACUGUUAUAAAAUGUGUUUUCUACUUGGCGUAUACCUUCCAGAGUCUUCAGUGAUCAAGAAAAACCUCUGAUAAAUGCCUGACUGCUUACACUGUAGCCCUAACUUUGGGAACCCAUUGGCAUCAUUGCUUCCUGAAAUGAGACACAACUGUUUAACUGAGCCGACCUAUUUUCAAGACUAAGAAAUUAAUUCAAGGAAAUAAUGAAGCAAUCUACCAGCUCAGCUUUUAAUAUGUAAAACUUCCAGGGAAAUUUUAGAGGAGGGAACUGUUGGGGCCCGGGAAGACCACCCCAAAAUAUCCCACAAUGGCAUAUUGAUUAUUUUGAAUUAAAGUUUACUUGAG